rnacentral:rRNA from 1 species
ACUGCGAACGGCUCAUUAUAACAGCUAUAAUCUACUUGAUCUUGACAUAUCCUACUUGGAUAACUGUGGUAAUUCUAGAGCUAAUACAUGCACUAAAGCCCUGACCUCACGGAAAGGGUGCAUUUAUUAGAACAAAACCAAGCCGCUUGCGGUUUAUUUGUUGACUCAGAAUAACUCAGCUGAUCGCAUGGUCUUGUACCGGCGACGUGUCUUUCGAGUAUCUGCCUUAUCAACUUUCGAUGGUAGUGUAUUUGACUACCAUGGUGGUGACGGGUAACGGAGGAUAAGGGUUCGACUCCGGAGAAGGCGCCUGAGAAAUGGCGACUACGUCUAAGGAUGGCAGCAGGCGCGCAAAUUACCCACUCUCAGAAUGAGGAGGUAGUGACGAGAAAUAACGAGACCGUUCUCUACGAGGCCGGUCAUCGGAAUGGGUACAAUCUAAACCCUUUAACGAGUAUCUAUGAGAGGGCAAGUCUGGUGCCAGCAGCCGCGGUAAUUCCAGCUCUCAAAAUGCAUAGAAUUAUUGCUGCGGUUAAAAAGCUCGUAGUUGGAUCUGUGCUAGGGACUUGGUCCAUCUUCGGAUGCGUACUGAGCUCCCUUGCUUUUCUGCCGGUUUUCCCAGCAUGGCUUUUACCGGCUGUGUUGGGUGGCUGGUGAUUUUACUUUGAACAAAUCAGAGUGCUUCAAACAGGCGUUUCGCUUGUAUGUUUUUGCAUGGAAUAAUAGAAGAGGAUCUCGGUUCUAUUUUAUUGGUUUUAUAGACCGAAAUAAUGGUUAACAGAGACGAACGGGGGCAUUAGUACUUUUGCGCUAGAGGUGAAAUUCUUGGACCGCAGAAAGACUAACUACAGCGAAAGCAUUUGCCAAGAACGUCUUCAUUAAUCAAGAACGAAAGUCAGAGGUUCGAAGGCGAUCAGAUACCGCCCUAGUUCUGACCGUAAACGAUGCCAACUAGCGAUCUACCGGUGGAAUAUUCGCCCUGGUAGGGAGCUUCCCGGAAACGAAAGUCUUCGGGUUCCGGGGGAAGUAUGGUUGCAAAGCUGAAACUUAAAGGAAUUGACGGAAGGGCACCACCAGGAGUGGAGCCUGCGGCUUAAUUUGACUCAACACGGGAAAACUCACCCGGCCCGGACACUGUAAGGAUUGACAGAUUGAUAGCUUUUUCAUGAUUCGGUGGAUGGUGGUGCAUGGCCGUUCUUAGUUCGUGGAGCGAUUUGUCUGGUUUAUUCCGAUAACGAGCGAGACUCUAGCCUGCUAAAUAGUCUGCACAUUCCUA